GCCCGCGUGGUGGAAUGGUAGACACAAGCGACUUAAAAUCGCUUGCCCGAAAGGGCGUGCUGGUUCGACUCCAGCCGCGGGCA
rnacentral:tRNA from 1 species